rnacentral:rRNA from 1 species
AUGAACGCUGGCGGCGUGCCUAAUACAUGCAAGUCGAGCGAACAGACGAGGAGCUUGCUCCUCUGACGUUAGCGGCGGACGGGUGAGUAACACGUGGAUAACCUACCUAUAAGACUGGGAUAACUUCGGGAAACCGGAGCUAAUACCGGAUAAUAUAUUGAACCGCAUGGUUCAAUAGUGAAAGACGGUUUUGCUGUCACUUAUAGAUGGAUCCGCGCCGCAUUAGCUAGUUGGUAAGGUAACGGCUUACCAAGGCAACGAUGCGUAGCCGACCUGAGAGGGUGAUCGGCCACACUGGAACUGAGACACGGUCCAGACUCCUACGGGAGGCAGCAGUAGGGAAUCUUCCGCAAUGGGCGAAAGCCUGACGGAGCAACGCCGCGUGAGCGAUGAAGGUCUUCGGAUCGUAAAACUCUGUUAUUAGGGAAGAACAAAUGUGUAAGUAACUAUGCACGUCUUGACGGUACCUAAUCAGAAAGCCACGGCUAACUACGUG